rnacentral:rRNA from 1 species
CCUACGGGGGGCAGCAGUCGAGAAUCAUUCACAAUGGGGGAAACCCUGAUGGUGCGACGCCGCGUGGGGGAAUGAAGGUCUUCGGAUUGUAAACCCCUGUCAUGUGGGAGCAAAUUAAAAAGAUAGUACCACAAGAGGAAGAGACGGCUAACUCUGUGCCAGCAGCCGCGGUAAUACAGAGGUCUCAAGCGUUGUUCGGAAUCACUGGUCGUAAAGCGUGCGUAGGCUGUUUCGUAAGUCGUGUGUGAAAGGCGCGGGCUCAACCCGCGGACGGCACAUGAUACUGGGAGACUAGAGUAAUGGAGGGGGAAGCGGAAUUCUCGGUGUAGCAGUGAAAUGCGUAGAUAUCGAGAGGAACACUCGUGGCGAAGGCGGGUCACUGGACAUUAACUGACGCUGAGGCACGAAGGCCAGGGGAGCGAAAGGGAUUAGAUACCCUAGUAGUC